UACGAAGGGAGCUAGCGUUGUUCGGAAUCACUGGGCGUAAAGCGCACGUAGGCGGAUGUGUCAGUCAGGGGUGAAAUCCCGGAGCUCAACUUCGGAACUGCCCUUGAUACAGCACGUCUUGAGUCCGAGAGAGGUGGAUGGAAUUCCUAGUGUAGAGGUGAAAUUCGUAGAUAUUAGGAAGAACACCGGUGGCGAAGGCGGUCCACUGGCUCGGUACUGACGCUGAGGUGCGAAAGCGUGGGGAGCAAACAGGAUUAGAAACCCCAGUAGUCC
rnacentral:rRNA from 1 species